UUGGCUAUUCUCGGCUGGAUAUAGUGGUUCAAUUGUAUCAGGAGAGAAAUAACAACUCUAUUGGCAUCAGAUACUAUGGGGUAGAGAUAGGGUUGGGCUUAAUAACUGUUAGAUGAUGGUCUCAAUGAUAAUUUUAUUCACACUCAAUGGUAGGUUUAACUUAACUAGAAAAUGAGAUCAAUAACUGUCAGAUGAGAUUUUAG
rnacentral:lncRNA from 1 species